AAACAGCUAUUGUCCACUUAGAUGCUUCUCAAAAGAUUCCAUAUCCUGGCACAGGACAAAUCCCUCAAGCUAUGGCGUGUUGUGAAGUUGAGCUACAUAGCAAUGCUAUCAAAUCCGACGAAUCACAAGCCAGUGGCGAUGUUGCUAGCUGUGAAGUUGCCACGACAAAGGAAGUUCUUAGUGAGGAUCAACAAACAAUGAAGGUUAAGUCAGCUGCAUCUCAGACACCUUCAGUUCACUCUGUUGGGAAAAUGCCUGAAGAUAUAGGUUGUGAGGUUGCCACGACAAAGGAAGUUCUCACUGAGGAUCAACAAACAAUGAAGGUUCAGUCAGCUGCAUCUCAGACACCUUCAGUUCACUCUGUUGGGAAAAUGCCUGAAGAUAUAGGUUGUGAGGUUGCCACGACAAAGGAAGUUCUCACUGAGGAUCAACAAACAAUGAAGGUUCAGUCAGCUGCAUCUCAGACACCUUCAGUUCACUCUGUUGGGAAAAUGCCUGAAGAUAUAGGUUGUGAGGUUGCCACGACAAAGGAAGUUCUCACUGAGGAUCAACAAACAAUGAAGGUUCAGUCAGCUGCAUCUCAGACACCUUCAGUUCACUCUGUUGGGAAAAUGCCUGAAGAUAUAGGUUGUGAGGUUGCCACGACAAAGGAAGUUCUCACUGAGGAUCAACAAACAAUGAAGGUUCAGUCAGCUGCAUCUCAGACACCUUCAGUUCACUCUGUUGGGAAAAUGCCUGAAGAUAUAGGUUGUGAGGUUGCCACGACAAAGGAAGUUCUCACUGAGGAUCAACAAACAAUGAAGGUUCAGUCAGCUGCAUCUCAGACACCUUCAGUUCACUCUGUUGGGAAGAUGCCUGAAGAUAUAGUGAGUAAUGAAGUUCUGCCACAGUGUGAUGCUAUACAAACAGAUGCAUCUCAAUCCCAUGUCACUCUUGCCUCUUCAGGAUCAAUGGCUCCAGUUACUGAUUGCCUGGUUGAAAAGAGUGAAGGUAAUUCUAAGGGUGACGAUGGUGAAAAGACUGAAACUAAUUCUAUAGAUGGGUCAAACAUGGAAGUUCCCAUUGGAGCUUUGGAGCUUACAUCAUCUGACGAUCUGAACAAGAGUGGAGAUGCAGAAGGGAAAACUAGCAGCAGUUUAAGCGGGGUCCUUCCCACAAGUUCUGAGUUAGUUCCCCAUCCAAGCACAGAGACAGAGGUAUAUCUGGGUUCCGUAGGCUCCGGGAAAGUAAGUUUUAGUUCGGGAUCAACUCAAAGCCUGUCUGAGAGUGUGUCUGCAAAAACUGAUGUUGAACAGUUACAGACUGAGGAUCUUCCUCUGGAUAAAUCAUUUGUUUCUAAAGCUGAGGCAGCCAGCUCUGAGCAUCUCGCUGGUGGCAUACUUGGAACAGAACAGGAAACCGGAGGCACCAUGGAGGAGACUGUUGUUUCACCUGCUGUGGAGACUGACAAUCUGAAUAUGAAGGGAAUCGCAUCAUUUGCUUCUCCAUCUACUGAGGCAGAAUCUUUAGUGGAUGAACCUCCAGUAUGUGGAUCUUAUGAACCAGCCAAGGACAAACUUGAAAAAACAGCAGAAGGAACACAUUCCGAUAAAGGUGCAAUGGCCGAGGUUUGUGAACAAGAUAAGUUAUCAGUUAACGUGUCAUUGGAGACAACUAAAGGUUUAAGUAGGGGGGAGAAAGAAAAAUAUAGGAUUCCAGAAACUUUUGAGAAGCAAGUUAAUGUUGCUGAAUCCCUAACAGAAGAAUGUGGAAAAGAUCUUGCAGCACAUGGUCCAGAAAUGAAAGAUUCUGAUGUAAGUGAGGUUGCACCAAGCCCUAGAAAUGAGUCCCAAUCCAGUUUUACUGUUGGAACAUCUCAAAGAACUUUUGAGGAGCAAGUUAAUGUUGCUGAAUCCCUAACAGAAGAAUGUGGAAGUGAUCUUGCAGCACACAGUCCCGAAAUGAAAGAUUCUGAUGUAAGUGAGGUUGCGCCAAGCCCUAGAAAUGAGUCCCAAUCCAGUUUCACUGUUGGAACAUCUCAAAGUGAACCUGAACGACAAGCAAUUGCUGAAGCAAACUUGCAUCCCAGUAUUUCCGGUAAGGACUAUUCUUUAUCUAGUUUAGAUAAUGAAUCUGAUAGAGUUUGAAAAACAGAAGCAAAUCUAUUCUGUCACACCUGAGGUUUGUGAAUCUGACAUGACACAUGUUGAUUUUGUAGA
rnacentral:lncRNA from 1 species